rnacentral:rRNA from 1 species
GUAACGAGCGCAACCCUUGUCCUUAGUUACCAGCACGUUAUGGUGGGCACUCUAAGGAGACUGCCGGUGACAAACCGGAGGAAGGUGGGGAUGACGUCAAGUCAUCAUGGCCCUUACGGCCUGGGCUACACACGUGCUACAAUGGUCGGUACAAAGGGUUGCCAAGCCGCGAAGUGGAGCUAAUCCCAUAAAACCGAUCGUAGUCCGGAUCGCAGUCUGCAACUCGACUGCGUGAAGCUGGAUUCGCUAGUAAUCGCGCAUCAGCCACGGCGCGGUGAAUACGUUCCCGGGCCUU